rnacentral:rRNA from 1 species
ACGUAGGGGGCAAGCGUUGUCCGGAUUUAUUGGGCGUAAAACGCUCGUAGGUGGCCAUGUCAAGUCUGAUGUGAAAUCUAUGGGCUCAACUCAUAGUCUGCAUCGGAAACUGCCGGGCUUGAGUGUGGGAGAGGUGAGUGGAAUUCCUGGUGUAGCGGUGAAAUGCGUAGAUAUCAGGAGGAACACCUGUGGCGAAAGCGGCUCACUGGACCACAACUGACGCUGAUGCACGAAAGCUAGGGGAGCAAACAGGA